ACAUGCACAUGCCAUCAUUUUCAGCUAGAGAUAUGUAACCUGCAGGCACACCUUUGAUUAUUUAUGGUACAGAGAUUCAGGUAUAUGUUAUUUUCAUACUGUAAAAUGAUUAAGAUGUAUCAUUAGAUGAUCUUCCCCUGCUGGCAUCUUUUAUCCCAUGGUAUAGUUCUUUCUGCUUAUGUGAUCCUCAUAUUUAAAGUUAAUUUCGUUGCUUCUCUUUUGUUGCAACGGCCAGCACUCUUAUGUUUGGUAAACUACAAUCUGGAUGGUUGCUUAGAUGCCUGCCAUAGUUGCCUCCCUCUUCCCUAUGUUCUACCCUGUUGAUAACCUCAUUGGCAUCCAAUAACCUGAAGAUGAUGUCUCGAUAGAUGUCUCGCGAUGUAUAACUGUU
rnacentral:lncRNA from 1 species